CCUACGGGUGGCAGCAGUGGGGAAUCUUCCACAAUGGGCGAAAGCCUGAUGGAGCAACGCCGCGUGGGUGAAGAAGGUCUUCGGAUCGUAAAACCCUGUUGUUAGAGAAGAAAGUGCGUGAGAGUAACUGUUCACGUUUCUACGUUAUCUAACCAGAAAGCCACGGCUAACUACGUGCGAGCAGCCCCGGUAAUACGUAGGUGGCAAGCGUUAUCCGGUUUGAUUGGGCGUAAAGGGAACGCAGGCGGUCUUUUAAGUCUGAUGUGAAAGCCUUCGGCUUAACCGGAGUAGUGCAUUGGAAACUGGGAGACUUGAGUGGAGAAGAGGAGGGUGGAACUCCGUGUGUAGCGGUGAAAUGCGUAGAUAUAUGGAAGAACACCAGUGGCGAAGGCGGCUCUCUGGUCUGUAACUGACGCUGAGGUUCGAAAGCGUGGGUAGCAAACAGGAUUAGAUACCCGAGUAGUU
rnacentral:rRNA from 1 species